UCUAAUUAAUAUAACAGAAGUUUGCCCUUUUCUCACGAAUCCUCUCUCCUCUCUCACUUUACUCAACGCCUUCUCCAAUCAGCUCACACGACGAUGUCCUCCGUCUAACAACAUCCUCCACUCGGACGAGGUCCUACAAUCUGGCGAGCAGAGGACGAGGAAGACCGCGUGUAAAGGAGGAGCGUGUCGAAACAUUAUUGAACGUUGCAUUGGAGUAUUAAAGGCAAGAUUUCCCAUUUUGAAGUUAAACGGAGACACAUUCUUACUGCAUGUUGCACAAUACAUAACUUUGUUCAUCAGGAGCAUGCUUUGAAUAGACUUUUUGCUCAAUAUUCAUCGGAGAAUAUGAUAUUUGAAGAUGUGUCGGAAUUGUGUGAAGAUCGAGAAGUCGUACAAUUUGAUGCUAGUCAAACAUCUCAAAUGCGACAAGUCAAAGAUCAUAUUGCUACACAAAUGUGGAAUGACUACUCAACGACUCAUACAUGAUUCCAUAGAUUUAUUUUAUUGUUUAAAUUCUAACCCCUUUUUUCCUCUUUUUUUUUUUUUUUUUUUAAACCGUUCACAUUUAAGCUUGCAAACUUAGUUGACUUGAUAUUAUAUACUUGUUGCAGUCUCACCAUUCAUAAUCACUUUUUAUAAUUCUCAAUCCAUAUCAUUUAUUAUUUUC